rnacentral:rRNA from 1 species
AGUGAACGCUGGCGGCAGGCCUAAUACAUGCAAGUCGAACGGCAGCACAGUAAGAGCUUGCCUCUACGGGUGGCGAGUGGCGGACGAGUGAGGCAUACAUCGCAAUCCUAUUUUUCGUGGGGGACAACGUAGGGCAACUUAUGAUACUACCGAAUAUGUCCUACGGGUGAAAGCAGGAGAUCUUCGCACUUUUCGUGACAGAAUGAGCCGAUGCCGGAUUAGCUAGUUGGCGAGGUAAAGGCACACCAAGGCGACGAUCCGUAGCUGGUCUGAGAGGAUGAUCGGCCACACUGGAACUGAGACACGGUCCAGACUCCUACGGGAGGCAGCAGUAGGGAAUAUUCGACAAUGGGCGCAAGCCUGAUCCAGCCAUACCGCGUGAGUGAAGAAGGCCUUCGGAUUGUAAAGCCCUUUUAUUAGGAAAGAAAAGCUGCAGAUUAAUACCCCGCUGUUCUGACGGUACCCAAUGAGUAAGCACCGGCUAACUACGUG